AAGUUUGAUAAGACGAUAGUUAUUCAUAUAGUUACCUACAUAUAUCCUUUCUCCCACGACUAUUUGUCAAGGUGUUUUACGAUUGAGGUGAAACCGGCUGCCAUUUCGCGUUUCCAUAUCAUCACACCUUCCCUGCCGCAUUCCUCCCCAUAUAUCAGGCUCCCCGAGAAACACGGCUUGUUUACGAACAAAGAAACGGGAUAAAACCAUAACAUACCAGGAUAUGAAAUAAUAGCCUUGAUAUUUUCGGGAUAUCAACAACAUACACACAGGAGCGGUCACAACACAACAAGGCACAUCUGCUGAAAAAAGACGCGACGCUGGAAAUCAGAGAAAGGAAUAUGGCGCUGGAUCCGCGCUUCUACAACAGCAUUGGAGGCCCACCAUCAUUACCAUCACCAUCACCAUCACCAUCACAACUGGGCUCCAGGGCCUCGAUGGUCUCGAUGAACGGAGAAGGUAUGAUCGUUUCCCACGCGUCGCCGGUACCGUCAGCCCCGAUGUCCGUUUACUCCAGUGCUGCAGCCAAUAUCGGGCCAAACGCAGGAGCGUUAUCCAUGGCAUCGUCCGGAGCGUUUCGAUCGACAGCUUCGAGUCCGUCGUUGAGAGCAAGGGAAAGUGUUGUGGUUGAGCCG
rnacentral:sRNA from 2 species